rnacentral:rRNA from 1 species
UACAGAGGUCUCAAGCGUUGUUCGGAUUCAUUGGGCGUAAAGGGUGCGUAGGUGGCGCGCUAAGUCAGGUGUGAAAUCUCGGAGCUUAACUCCGAAACUGCAUUCGAUACUGUGGUGCUUGAGGACUGGAGAGGAGACUGGAAUUCAUGGUGUAGCAGUGAAAUGCGUAGAGAUCAUGAGGAAGACCAGUGGCGAAGGCGGGUCUCUGGACAGUUCCUGACACUGAGGCACGAAGGCCAGGGGAGCAAACGGG